AUUGAACGCUGGCGGCAUGCCUUACACAUGCAAGUCGAACGGCAGCACGGGGCAACCUGGUGGCGAGUGGCGAACGGGUGAGUAAUGCAUCGGAACGUACCUUUCAGUGGGGGAUAACGUAGCGAAAGUUACGCUAAUACCGCAUAUUCUGUGAGCAGGAAAGCAGGGGAUCGCAAGACCUUGCGCUGAUUGAGCGGCCGAUGUCAGAUUAGCUAGUUGGUGAGGUAAAGGCUCACCAAGGCGACGAUCUGUAGCGGGUCUGAGAGGAUGAUCGGCCACACUGGAACUGAGACACGGGCCAGGCUCCUACGGGAGGCAGCAGUGGGGAAUUUUGGACAAUGGGGGCAGCCCUGAUCCAGCCAUGCCGCGUGAGUGAAGAAGGCCUUCGGGUUGUAAAGCUCUUUCGGCCGGGAAGAAAUCGCACGGGCUAAUACCCUGUGUGGAUGACGGUACCGGAAUAAGAAGCACCGGCUAACUACGUGCCAGCCGCCGCGGUAAAAC
rnacentral:rRNA from 1 species